AGUAUAUUAAGAUAUAAAUUCUGUUAGUUUUCAAGGCUAAAAGAGCUAGUUUC
rnacentral:tRNA from 1 species